CUUCCAUCCGGGGCAUCAAAGUGAGCGUCUGCACCGCCACUCUCUCCGUCAGCGAGGACGGCGCUUCUGCCUGCAGUGUCCGCUGGUUGCUGCCUCCUCCUCCUGCCUCAGUGCUUCUAAAGCCCAGUUCGGUCUUCUGAAGAGAUGGAAUAUCUCCAUUGUGCUUCACAUGUCCCUCCAGAGAGCAGGCAGGCAGUGUGGGCCACCGAACACAACUUUGUAUGGAGCGCCAUGGUUCCGAACGUUGGAAGGAAGUCAGACAAAAUAUAUUGUAACAAAAGUUUUUCCCCAUGGUCCCGCUUCACCAUCCCUUUCGGUAUCCCUGUGGGUUUCAGGGCGAAAAGUUCACCUUAUGAGUGUUUUAUGCUUUUAACUUUACCUAUGCUUGUUUUUAUGAUUUCCCGUGUAAGUUUAGGGCUUGCUUUUCUUUGUUUUUCUGUGUUUUAACUUUGUUUUUUCCCUCCGCGGGGGUGGCGUGAGACAGGAAUGCAGCCCUGAGAAGGCUGUGUGCUGGGACCGAGCCAAUCUCUCUCCCUCUCUUGCUCUCUCCGUGCUCGGUUCCCCCCCCCUCCGCAGGUGCACAGGCCAGGGGGCGUGUGGGGCCGCGGGUCCCUUGUAUUUCCCCCCUCUGUCGGUGCACUCCCGCGGCGCUGCGGGUGGAGCUUUCCCCUCCAUGUGCGGUGGCAGUGGGAGCAGAGGCAGCGCCUCUCCUUUCCCUCCGCCGUUUCCCCCUCCCCCCUCCCCACCGCCCCACUCCGCGACGCAGCCGCCACUUUUCUUUCUCCUCCCGUGUGAACCUGCACAGAGCCAGCAAAGGAACGGCAGGAGCAGUCCUCCCACUCCUUUCCCCCUUCCCCCACCCUGCACGAUUUCCGGAAAAGGUUAUCUGAGUUUGUAAGAAUGCCUCUUCUGUCGUGACGGUUUGGGAUGUUGUUCCAGUUCUGGGUCACAGACCAUCUCAAGAGCCUGCUGAGUUCAGAGCAUCCCUAUACUGACAAAUUUAGGAGGUUACAUCCUACAGGUAUUAUGGGCCAAUUGAGUGAACGACGGUCCAAUCCUGCACAUCCUGCAAUGGGUCUCUGCCCCAUCAACAUUGCAUGCUUUUGCAUUAAAAAAAAAAAAAAAAAAAAAAGGGGUCAACCAGGUUGUCUGAAUUAUUGGAAAAUUUUUAA